rnacentral:rRNA from 1 species
UACGUAGGUGGCGAGCGUUGUCCGGAUUUACUGGGCGUAAAGGGAGCGUAGGCGGACUUUUAAGUGAGAUGUGAAAUACUCGGGCUCAACUUGAGUGCUGCAUUUCAAACUGGAAGUCUAGAGUGCAGGAGAGGAGAAUGGAAUUCCUAGUGUAGCGGUGAAAUGCGUAGAGGUUAGGAAGAACACCAGUGGCGAAGGCGAUUCUCUGGACUGUAACUGACGCUGAGGCUCGAAAGCGUGGGGAGCAAACAGG